UACGGGUAACGGGGAUUAGGGUUCGAUUCCGGAGAGGGAGCCUGAGAAACGGCUACCACAUCCAAGGAAGGCAGCAGGCGCGCAAAGUACCCAAUCCCGACACGGGGAGGUAGUGACAAUAAAUAACAAUACGGGGCUCAUUUGGGUCUCGUAAUUGGAAUGAGUACAAUUUAAAUCCCUUAACGAGGAACAAUUGGAGGGCAAGUCUGGUGCCAGCAGCCGCGGUAAUUCCAGCUCCAAUAGCGUAUAUUAAAGUUGUUGCAGUUAAAAAGCUCGUAGUUGAACUUCGGGGUUUACCCAUUGGUCAGGCUUAAUUGUCUGUACUGGUGAGAUGAAUCUCUACCUUCUGAGGAACUUUCAUGCCAUUUAUUUGGUGUGAUUGGAAAUCAGGACUGUUACUUUGAAAAAAUUAGAGUGUUUAAAGCAGGCUAACGUCUGAAUAGUUAGCAUGGAAUAAUGAAAUAGGACGGAUUGAUUCUAUUUCGUUGGUUUCUAGGAUCACCGUAAUGAUUAAUAGGGAUAGUUGGGGGCAUUAGUAUUCAAUUGCCAGAGGUGAAAUUCUUGGAUUUAUUGAAGACUAACUACUGCGAAAGCAUUUGCCAAGGAUGUUUUCAUUAAUCAAGAACGAAAGUUAGGGGAUCGAAGACGAUCAGAUACCGUCGUAGUCUUAACCAUAAACUAUGCCGACUAGGGAUCGGACGAAGUUAAUUUUAUAAUGACGCGUUCGGCACCUUACGGGAAACCAAANUUUUGNGGGUUU
rnacentral:rRNA from 1 species